rnacentral:misc_RNA from 1 species
GGAAGUAAACGUCGUAACAAGGUUUCCGUUGGUGAACCAGCGGGGGGAUCAUUACGAGAGCCCCGAAAAGGCCAAAAACACCCGCGAACCUACCUUCUCUGCACGCUCCGGCGGGUCGCCCCAGGGGGGGCGUCGGCCGCAGGCACCCGCCGGAGCGCACCCACAGAAACUCCUCGAAAGUCUUCUGAGUACUGAAGCAAACGCUCACAACUUUCAACGAUGGAUCUCUUGGUUCCGGCCUCGAUGAAGAACGCAGC